rnacentral:rRNA from 1 species
UACGGAGGGUGCGAGCGUUGUCCGGAAUCAUUGGGCGUAAAGGGCGCGUAGGUGGCCUGUGCAAGCGUGCGGUGAAAGCUCGGGGCUCAACCCCGAGUCGGCCGUGCGAACUGCUGGGCUCGAGCACUGUAGAGGCAGGCGGAAUUCCGGGUGUAGCGGUGAAAUGCGUAGAGCUCGGGAAGAACAUCGGUGGCGAAAGCGCUCUACUGGACGGUAUCUGACACUGAGGGACGAAAGCUAGGGGAGCGAAUGGG